rnacentral:rRNA from 1 species
UACGUAGGGUGCGAGCGUUAAUCGGAAUUACUGGGCGUAAAGCGUGCGCAGGCGGUCUCGUAAGACAGGUGUGAAAUCCCCGGGCUCAACCUGGGAACUGCGCUUGUGACUGCGAGGCUAGAGUGCGGAAGAGGGAGGUGGAAUUCCACGUGUAGCAGUGAAAUGCGUAGAGAUGUGGAGGAACACCGAUGGCGAAGGCGGCCUCCUGGGCCAGCACUGACGCUCAUGCACGAAAGCGUGGGGAGCAAACAGG